CCCCGGUCUAACCACCGGGAUGUUCAUAACCCUUUGUUGUCCGACUCUGUUGCCUCCGGGGCGACCCUGCCUUCGGGCGGGGGCUCCGGGUGGACACUUCAAACUCUUGCGUAACUUUGCAGUCUGAGUAAACUUAAUUAAUAAAUUAAAACUUUUAACAACGGAUCUCUUGGUUCUGGCAUCGAUGAAGAACGCAGCGAAAUGCGAUAAGUAAUGUGAAUUGCAGAAUUCAGUGAAUCAUCGAAUCUUUGAACGCACAUUGCGCCCCCUGGUAUUCCGGGGGGCAUGCCUGUUCGAGCGUCAUUUCACCACUCAAGCCUCGCUUGGUAUUGGGCAACGCGGUCCGCCGCGUGCCUCAAAUCGACCGGCUGGGUCUUCUGUCCCCUAAGCGUUGUGGAAACUAUUCGCUAAAGGGUGUUCGGGAGGCUACGCCGUAAAACAACCCCAUUUCUAAGGUUGACCUCGGAUCAGGUAGGGAUACCCGCUGAACUUAAGCAUAUCAAUAAGCGGAGGAAAAGAAACCAACAGGGAUUGCUCUAGUAACGGCGAGUGAAGCAGCAAUAGCUCAAAUUUGAAAUCUGGCGUCUUCGACGUCCGAGUUGUAAUUUGUAGAGGAUGCUUCUGAGUAACCACCGACCUAAGUUCCUUGGAACAGGACGUCAUAGAGGGUGAGAAUCCCGUAUGCGGUCGGAAAGGUGCUCUAUACGUAGCUCCUUCGACGAGUCGAGUUGUUUGGGAAUGCAGCUCUAAAUGGGAGGUAAAUUUCUUCUAAAGCUAAAUAUUGGCCAGAGACCGAUAGCGCACAAGUAGAGUGAUCGAAAGAUGAAAAGCACUUUGGAAAGAGAGUUAAAAAGCACGUGAAAUUGUUAAAAGGGAAGGGAUUGCAACCAGACUUGCUCGCGGUGUUCCGCCGGUCUUCUGACCGGUCUACUCGCCGCGUUGCAGGCCAGCAUCGUCUGGUGCCGCUGGAUAAGACUUGAGGAAUGUAGCUCCCUCGGGAGUGUUAUAGCCUCUUGUGAUGCAGCGAGCGCCGGGCGAGGUCCGCGCUUCGGCUAGGAUGCUGGCG
rnacentral:rRNA from 1 species